rnacentral:lncRNA from 1 species
UAUGAUAUAUUGAUAUGCAUCUUACGUUAUUAUAUUUUUUUUUUUUAAAUUCAUCUCUAUUUUCUAUUUUUGAUUAUCAACAUAUAAGUACAUUCACUCCCUCUCUUCCAUUAUAUUCAUGUAUGUUGGAAUCUCAAGUCCAAGCCAACUUUCCAUUAGUAUGAUAUUGUCCGCUUUGGGCUCAUAACUCAAGCCCGCGCGGAUUUAUUGGCUUCUUCCCAAAAGGCCUCAUACUAAUUGGAGUGGGACUUAACUUAUAUAUUAGAAACUUCUCUUUCUAAUCUUCCGAUGUGGGAUAUUGGUUUGUAUUCCAAUACUCCCCCUCAAACGAAUAUCCAUUCCCCUAAGUCCACAAUCUUGACCUAGGCUCUGAUACCAAUUGUUGGAAUCUCAAGUCCAAGCCAACUUUCCAUUAGUAUGAUAUUGUCCGCUUUGGGCUCAUAACUCAAGCCCGCACGGAUUUAUUGGCUUCUUCCCAAAAGGCCUCAUACUAAUUGGAGUGGGACUUAACUUAUAUAUUAGAAACUUCUCUUUCUAAUCUUCCGAUGUGGGAUAUUGGUUUGUAUUCCAAU